rnacentral:misc_RNA from 1 species
GAUGAAGAACGCAGCGAAAUGCGAUAAGUAGUGUGAAUUGCAGAAUUCAGUGAAUCAUCGAAUCUUUGAACGCACAUUGCGCCCCUCGGUAUUCCGUGGGGCAUGCCUGUUCGAGCGUCAUUUAACCCCUCAAGCCUAGCUUGGUAUUGGGUGCUUGUCCCGCCUCUCGCGCGGCGACUCACCUCAAAGUCAUUGGCAGCCCGCAUCUCGCCGGCCGUGAGCGCAGCACAGACGCGCUCUUGGCAACGCCGGAUCGGCUCUCCAAAAGCUUAUUUCAACCACUGACCUCGGAUCAGGUAGGGAUACCCGCUGAACUUAAGCAUAUCAAUAAGCGGAGGA